rnacentral:rRNA from 1 species
GUAGUCCACGCCGUAAACGAUGUCGACUUGGAGGUUGUUCCCUUGAGGAGUGGCUUCCGGAGCUAACGCGUUAAGUCGACCGCCUGGGGAGUACGGCCGCAAGGUUAAAACUCAAAUGAAUUGACGGGGGCCCGCACAAGCGGUGGAGCAUGUGGUUUAAUUCGAUGCAACGCGAAGAACCUUACCUACUCUUGACAUCCAGAGAACUUAGCAGAGAUGCUUUGGUGCCUUCGGGAACUCUGAGACAGGUGCUGCAUGGCUGUCGUCAGCUCGUGUUGUGAAAUGUUGGGUUAAGUCCCGCAACGAGCGCAACCCUUAUCCUUUGUUGCCAGCGGUUCGGCCGGGAACUCAAAGGAGACUGCCAGUGAUAAACUGGAG